GGGCUAUGGGUCAGUGGUGGAGCAUCUGUUUGGUAUGCAGAAGGUCCUAGGUUCAAUCCCUGCCAUCUCUG
rnacentral:tRNA from 1 species